rnacentral:lncRNA from 1 species
AUUGGAGAUGUCAUGAUUACCAGGAAAAGUGGCCAUGGAUUGGAUGCUGGAGAUUCUGCCAGAGCUGCUGCAGAAGAAUCAGCUGUGUCUGCCCGUGUGUUUACCGAAACAGCGCAUGCCCCUGCAUAUAUAUAUGGCUGCUGCAGCACGUUGCUCGCUUCUAGCUCUGAGACGCCUGGAAGUCAUCCUCUGGGGAGAACCAGAACAUUACCUGCCUGUGCCCUAGCUGCUGAGACACAGAAAUCGAAUUAAGGCUGAGCAUGGUGGCUCACGCCUGAAGCCCCAGCACCCUGAGAGGCUGAGGUAGGUGGAUUGCCUGAACCCAGGAAUUUGAAACCAGCCUGGGCAACAUGGCGAAACCCCAUCUCUACAAAAAAUACAAAGUUAGGCAGGUGGUAUGCUCCUGUAGUCCCAGCUACUUGGGAGGCUGAGGUGGGAGGAUCUCUUGAGCCCAGGAGGUCAAGGCUGCAGUGAGCCAAGAUUGUGUGACUGCAUUAUAGCCUGGACAACAGAGUGAGACCCUGUCUCAAAAAAAAAAAAAAAAUGGUAUUUAGCUUUCCAGAAUCUUUAGUUCAGAGCUUAGCUAGAAAGCAAUUGGAGUGGACAUUGGGAGAGCCAGCAUCAAGCUGUUGACUGGAUGCCCCGUUCCCCUUGUGGAUGCCCAUGACUACAUGUAAGGCAGCCUUUUACAGGGGGGUGGGCACAGAAAAUGAAAGCUAUUGAGGCUGGUCAGCCAGCUCUGGCUCCACAUAGGACAGACAGCACCCCAUGGGAACCCCAGCUCUGUGAAGUCUACCCCAGCCACUGUGUGGAGUCCAAAGACUUUUUCCAGCUUUCAGGAAGCCUUAACUCAGACACAGUGUGGGCUCACCGUAACCACCACAGAAGAAUGGCAGAAGUGACCUGUGGUUUAAAU